CCAUGUGCUAGUAGCCCAUGUCAGAACGGGGGAACCUGUAACCCUUCUCCGGAACCAAGUCUUCCCUUUACAUGUAACUGCCAAGUUGGGUACACAGGCCAGCUGUGUCAAUCAGAUCUAUGCGCUGAUAACCAGUGUCAGAACGGAGGAUUUUGCAUUCCUUUCCCAGGUUCCAGCCCUCCAUACUUCUGUAACUGUCCAGGAGGGUAUAACGGUCAAUUCUGUCAAACAGCUCUGGAUCUCUGUGCCAAUAACCAGUGUCAGAACGGAGGAUCUUGCAGUCCAUUUCCAGGUUCCAACCCACCAUACUUCUGUAAUUGUCAGCCUGGGAAUACCGGCCAGUUCUGUC